rnacentral:rRNA from 1 species
ACCCCGUGCAUGAGUGGCGGACGGGUGAGUAACGCGUGGGCAACCUGCCCUGUACGGGGGGACAACACUUAGAAAUAGGUGCUAAUACCGCAUAACGGGGGAGCCGCAUGGCACCCCCCUGAAAACUCCGGUGGUACAGGAUGGGCCCGCGUCUGAUUAGCUGGUUGGCAGGGUAACGGCCUACCAAGGCGACGAUCAGUAGCCGGCCUGAGAGGGCGGACGGCCACACUGGGACUGAGACACGGCCCAGACUCCUACGGAAGGCAGCAG